GGUGUGCAUUGAUGUACAUAUUCCCCUCCAGUCUGGAGAGGAGAGAGACUGGACACACUCUAUAUGCUGGACUGCUGAGACGCCUGGCUUCACUUUGUGAGGAGAUUUGCCCUGUGCCCCAAACCCCUUCCAGUAUUAGCCCCGAUGCCUGAGAACCUAAAACUGGUCGCCCUGGAGACCUCUGCUCUCCACACACACAGGGAACUAAGUUGGUCACCUGCACUUAGGAAACCAUCUAAGCUAAGCUCAUUAUCCUCACAGGGUGAGGGGGUGGUCAGGGGUACCGUAUAUCCCACUGCACUGCAUUGAGGGCUCAAAUUGGCUGAAGUCGAGUUCUGGAGCCACCCCUACUUGUGCCCCACAUGGGCCGGUCACUGUUGAGUCCUUUCUCAAAAAAGACUGCAACUGUUUACUUCCCAGGUCAUCAUGGGUCUGCUAGGUUCAGUGAUGGCACGUUCCUAUCUGUAUCCAGUGGAAGUUGUAUCUGGCAGAGGGGCAGCCUGUAGUGUUGGGCCACUCUUGCCCACAGCCAUUUUAGAGACUCUGUGAGACCAGCUUUCAUUAACUUUAGCCGGGUACACCUGGCCUGAUGCACUGCCUGUGGGUGUGGGCUUGCUCCUGGCCCCAUGAGGAGCCCUGUCAGUGAGGCUUCCUGGGUAGACUCAGCAGGAGGGGCCCUUCCCAGUCCUCUCCUCCCCCUGUCUUGGCAUCAGUUGUUUUCUGUGAAAACAGUGGGUUGGUUUUGUGCAGGGUCUUGGGUUAGAACCACAAUGGAUUUGAGGAGUUUUUCUUUUGAUUUUGUAUAUUUUGCACAUUAAUAAUAAACAGUGGAAAGAGAAGCAGCUUAUUUA